rnacentral:rRNA from 1 species
CAGCAGCCACGGUAAUACGUAGGUGGCGAACGUUGUCCGGAUUUAUUGGGCGUAAAGGGAGUGUAGGCGGUCUUUUAAGUCUGAUGUGAAAGCCCACGGCUCAACCGUGGAGGGUCAUUGGAAACUGGGAGACUUGAGUGCAGAAGAGGAGAGCGGAAUUCCAUGUGUAGCGGUGAAAUGCGUAGAUAUAUGGAGGAACACCAGUGGCGAAGGCGGCUCUCUGGUCUGUAACUGACGCUGAGGCUCGAAAGCGUGGGGAGCAAACAGGAUUAGAUACCCCAGUAGUCCCUGUCUCUUAUAA